rnacentral:tRNA from 1 species
GGGGAUUUAGCUCAGCGGUAGAGCACUUGCCUAGCAAGUGCGAGGCCCUGGGUUCGGUCCCCAGCUCCG